UGAGGCGGGCUGGACCUCUCGGGGUUACAGCCUUGCUGAAUUAUUCACCCUUGUCUUUUGCGUACUUCUUGUUUCCUUGGUGGGUUCGCCCACCACUAGGACAAACAUAAACCUUUUGUAAUUGCAAUCAGCGUCAGUAACAAAUUAAUAAUUACAACUUUCAACAACGGAUCUCUUGGUUCUGGCAUCGAUGAAGAACGCAGCGAAAUGCGAUAAGUAGUGUGAAUUGCAGAAUUCAGUGAAUCAUCGAAUCUUUGAACGCACAUUGCGCCCUUUGGUAUUCCAAAGGGCAUGCCUGUUCGAGCGUCAUUUGUACCCUCAAGCUUUGCUUGGUGUUGGGCGUCUUGUCUCUAGCUUUGCUGGAGACUCGCCUUAAAGUAAUUGGCAGCCGGCCUACUGGUUUCGGAGCGCAGCACAAGUCGCACUCUCUAUCAGCAAAGGUCUAGCAUCCAUUAAGCCUUUUUUUCAACUUUUGACCUCGGAUCAGGUAGGGAUACCCGCUGAACUUAAGCAUAUCAAUAAGCGGAGGAAA
rnacentral:rRNA from 1 species